UUUCGCCCGAUUUCUGAGAAGGCGCGCAGCGAGCUUAGUUUUCGAUGACUUACGGCGGGAGGGAAUUUGAUAAUGGCUAUGGAAUCGCCAUUCCUCAACGAGACGACGCUCAUUUCUGGACUGCGAUUCUCACUUUUAGGGUAAAAGUCAGGCUUAAAGAGCCAGAUGAUCUCCAUUCCAUGGCAGCCSAGGAAAACCUUCUCGACUUCCCAUUUUCCAACUGGUGUAGAGCCGUUGUAUUUCCCUAGUUUAGAGCUGCAGCCUGCAAGUGCCAUUACCACCAUCAACAUUUGCCAUGUGAUCCUUUUGAAAAAGAUGAAGAAAAGAGGAAAGAGGAAGAUGAAUAUCAAUACUGAAGAGGACGAGGCCCGCAAGCCCGACAAGUACAAUUGUCGAAUGCCGAGCUAAGUAUCCUCUUUUUAUGUGGUGAUUGAGAAUGAGAAUAUCUUGGUUGUCAUAUCUAAGUUUCACUUGAAAUUUGAAAUUCUUUCUACGUAAUUCGAUUGCAGGCCAUUAUCAUACGUGUUCUGUAUACCGAAGAACUUGUUCAAUUAUGAAGUACGGAAUGGCAAUAUGCAGAGCAGGAGUAUAAGUUUUCUCAAAUCAAUUUGCUGCAAAUUGAUAUGGCCUCUGAGGGCUGCCUUAGCGUUGCAGUUUCCACGUCUCCGAAACAUGGCAAUAGAGAUGCUGAGACUGUGAGGUCCAGUUCACCGAAAGGGCAGUGCUUGUGCUCACCCACGAUGCAUCAAGGCUCGUUUAGGUGUCGGCUUCAUCGUUCAACGUCUUCAGCGUGGAUGAAACGAUCAAAAUCAAUGCCUGCCAACAACCCUGUGGCUGCUCUUUCUCCCAAAAAAUCUCUUGAAUCUUCCUAAAGGCAUAUGCAAGAAGCAAAAUACAUCUUCCAUAUGAGAGAGAGAGAGGGAGGGAGGGGUCUUUUUCUGGACAUAUUGAAGUGGUUGAGAUUAGCUAUGGAUUGAGAAGAAAAGAAUGGCAAAAUUCCAUGGCCUACCCUUAGAAGAAUAAGAGUGGGAAUGGUAUUUGGUGGUWAUAUUAUUUGUGUGUCUCUGUUACUUGUCAACCUCAUUAUCUUCAAUUAUUGCAGCUCUUUCUUUACA